rnacentral:rRNA from 1 species
CAGUAGCCGCGGGAACACGGAGGGAGCUAGCGUUGUUCGGAAUUACUGGGCGUAAAGCGCACGUAGGCGGUUUAUCAAGUCAGAGGUGAAAGCCCGGGGCUCAACCCCGGAACUGCCUUUGAAACUAGUAGACUUGAAUCUUGGAGAGGUCAGUGGAAUUCCGAGUGUAGAGGUGAAAUUCGUAGAUAUUCGGAAGAACACCAGUGGCGAAGGCGACUGACUGGACAAGUAUUGACGCUGAGGUGCGAAAGCGUGGGGAGCGAACAGGAUUAGAUACCCGUGUAGUCCCUGUCUCUUAUAC